rnacentral:tRNA from 1 species
GACCGCGUAGCUCAGUUGGUAGAGCAUUGGGCUAGUAUUCCAAAGGUCGUAGGUUCGAUUCCCGCCGUGGUCA